GGCGAGCGUUGUUCGGAAUUACUGGGCGUAAAGGGCGCGUAGGCGGCGACUCAAGUUAGAUGUGAAAGUCCUGGGCUUAACCUGGGGACUGCAUUUGAUACUGGGUUGCUUGAAUUCGGGAGAGGAUAGCGGAAUUCCCAGUGUAGAGGUGAAAUUCGUAGAUAUUGGGAAGAACACCGGUGGCGAAGGCGGCUAUCUGGACCGACAUUGACGCUGAGGCGCGAAAGCGUGGGGAGCAAACAGG
rnacentral:rRNA from 1 species